rnacentral:tRNA from 1 species
GGAGAGGUGUCAGAGCGGCCGAAUGAGCUCGUCUCGAAAACGAGUAAGGGGUCAUAGCCUUCGUGGGUUCGAAUCCCACCCUCUCCGCCA